rnacentral:rRNA from 1 species
UGGGGAAUAUUGGACAAUGGGCGCAAGCCUGAUCCAGCCAUGCCGCGUGAGUGAUGAAGGCCCUAGGGUUGUAAAGCUCUUUCACCGGUGAAGAUAAUGACGGUAACCGGAGAAGAAGCCCCGGCUAACUUCGUGCCAGCAGCCGCGGUAAUACGAAGGGGGCUAGCGUUGUUCGGAUUUACUGGGCGUAAAGCGCACGUAGGCGGACUAUUAAGUCAGGGGUGAAAUCCCGGGGCUCAACCCCGGAACUGCCUUUGAUACUGGUAGUCUUGAGUUCGAGAGAGGUGAGUGGAAUUCCGAGUGUAGAGGUGAAAUUCGUAGCUAUUCGGAGGAACACCAGUGGCGAAGGCGGCUCACUGGCUCGUUACUGACGCUGGGGUGCGAAAGCGUGGGGAGCAAACAGG